GACGAACGCUGGCGGCGUGCUUAACACAUGCAAGUCGAACGGAAAGGCCCUGCUUUUGUGGGGUGCUCGAGUGGCGAACGGGUGAGUAACACGUGAGUAACCUGCCCUUGACUUUGUGAUAACUUCAGGAGACUGGGGCUAAUACCGGAUAGGAGCUCCUGCUGCAUGGUGGGGGUUGGAAAGUUUCGGCGGUUUGGGAUGGACUCGCGGCUUAUCAGCUUGUUGGUGGGGUAGUGGCUUACCAAGGCUUUGACGGGUAGCCGGCCUGGGAGGGUGACCGGCCACAUUGGGACUGAGAGACGGCGCAGACUCCUACGGGAGGCAGCAGUGGGGAAUAUUGCACAGUGGGCGGAAGCCUGAUGCAGCAACGCCGCGUGCGGGAUGACGGCCUUCGGGUUGUAAACCGAUUUCGCCUGUGACGAAGCGUGAGUGACGGUAAUGGGUAAAGAAGCACCGGCUAACUACGUG
rnacentral:rRNA from 1 species